AGCGUUGAAUAAGGUAAAAAGCGUCCCUGCUCCUUGCACACGGGUUUUAGUCAGGCAACGAGCGAGACCCACGCCAACAGUUGCCAGCACGACCUCCGGGUCGGUGGGGACACUGUUGGGACCGCCUCUGCUAAAGAGGAGGAAGGAAUGGGCAACGGUAGGUCAGCAUGCCCCGAAUUAUCCGGGCUACACGCGGGCUACAAUGGGCAGGACAAUGGGCCCCGACACCGAAAGGUGAAGGUAAUCUCUUAAACCUGUUCUAAGUUCGGAUUGUGGGCUGCAACUCGCCC
rnacentral:rRNA from 1 species